UACGUAGGGUGCGAGCGUUAAUCGGAAUUACUGGGCGUAAAGCGUGCGCAGGCGGUUUCUAUAAGACAGAAUGUGAAAUCCCCCGGGCUCAACCUGGGGAACUGCAUUUGUGACUGUAGAGCUGGAGUGCGGCAGAGGGGGAUGGAAUUCCGCGUGUAGCAGUGAAAUGCGUAGAUAUGCGGAGGAACACCGAUGGCGAAGGCAAUCCCCUGGGCCUGCACUGACGCUCAUGCACGAAAGCGUGGGGAGCAACAGG
rnacentral:rRNA from 1 species